GACACACCCACCAUAGUUUCUGUGUGUGUGCCGGAGAUCUGAACUCAGGUCCUGCACUGGGUCACGGACACACCCACCAUAGUUUCUGUGUGUGCCGGAGGUCUGAACUCAGGUCCUGCACUGGGUCACGGACACACCCACCAUAGUUUCUGUGUGUGUGCUGGAGAUCUGAACUCAGGUACUCAUGCAUGUGUGGCAGUCAUUGCCUACUGAGCCACCUCUCCUGGCCCAUUGUGCACAGGUUUCUGGAAAACAUUCUUGAAGAAAAUGUGGGAAGCUUCCUAUUCCAACAUAUGGUUAUGGGCCCCUCAAGGGAUCCAUAUGUAGAAAAGGUCUCCAUCUGGGUGUGUUGGCACAAGUCUGUGGUCCUAGUACUCGGGAGUAGAAACAGAUCUUUAUGAGUUCAAGGUAAGCUUGGACUACACAGCAAGAUCCAGGCCAGCCAUGCUGGACCACUUGUCUUCAGAGGGGAGGGGAGGGUGUGAAUAAAACAACUUCUGCUUUACUUAGGUAUCUUUUUUAAAUUUACAUUUCUUGCACAUUAUUCGUGGAGGUCACAGGACAACUGUGGGAGUUGGUUCUCUCUGUGGCACGCCGCGUCUGCCAGCAGAAGAGACAACCACAACAGGAUUCUUCUCAGAACGUACUUUUAUUGGGAGCGCACAACUUGAGGUUGAUGGUGAAGGACCCCGGACCCUGGCGUGCAUGGCUUAUAUAAGCCGUGCAGAACAAAGCCUGAGACGUGUCCGAGUCUGAAUGGCUCUGGCUGCUCCUGAUCUUACGCGUCAGCUCACGAUUGGCGGCUGGAUCGCGCCAUUCGGGAAAGCACACCAAGCGCCUCUGGGCGGGGCCGAGGCUGCUUUGGAGGCAGGAAAUAACGGCAGGGUUGUGGUGCCUUGGCGCCCUACAUCUCCCCCUUAUAUAUAUAUAUAUUAAUAGACGCCCGGGAUGUAUCCGAUCAGGUCAGAACCUCAUGAUGCUCCAACCGAUCAAGGACAGUGGUUCCGGAGGGAAAGGAUGCCAACGCCUUCCCAAGUGCAAGGGCAACAAGGCCGAUUGGGGUGCAAAGGCCAUUGGCUGCCAACGCCUUCCCGAGUGCAAGGGCAACAAGGCCAAUCGGGGUGCAAAGGCCAUUGACUUUCUGCAAGAGCCCCAUCCUACCAGGUGCAAUGACAACAAUGUCACUGGGUACAAGGGCUGAGGCCUCACAAAUCCCUCUUAAGGCUGGCAAGCCAUACCUGGGGGGAGACGCCCUGAUCAAUCGCUGCCAGUGCCUGAAUGAUCACAGCUUUAUCUCGAGCCUGUCGCGCUCGGAGACGGUACAGUAGCCACAGACACAGGAAAACGCCUAGGCAUAUUAAAGCGCCAAACAAUCCCACCCCAACCCAUAGAACUGAAGUCAACCAAGAGGUCAGUUCUUUGAGGGUGACAGGAUCAACACGGGUUCCAUUAAGUUCAGCAAUUUGGACCAGCUGCUGCUGAAUGAGUUGUUCUGCCUCUCGCGACCAGUUUCCAGCUAAAUAGUCUCCCAGCCUUUUGCUCUUAUUUCCUGCAUCAAUAAAUCUCAAAGGGGUUAUG